ensembl:snRNA U6 U6 spliceosomal RNA
GUUCACUUCAGUAGUACAUAUACUAAAAUUGGAAUGAUACAGAAAAGAUUAGCGUGGCCCCUGCACAAGGAUGACACACAAAUUCAUGAAGCAUUUAAUUUCUUG